rnacentral:rRNA from 1 species
CUCCUACGGGUGGCAGCAGUGGGGAAUCUUGCGCAAUGGACGAAAGUCUGACGCAGCAACGCCGCGUGAGGGACGAAGGCUUUCUGAGUUGUAACCUCUUUCGACAGGAACGAUUGUGACGGUACCUGUAGAAGAAGCACCGGCCAACUAUGUGCCAGCCGCCGCGGUAAUUC